UGGUGCUUGCAUCAUGAUUUACAUUUGAGUGAGUGGCGAACUGGUGAGUAACACGUGGGAAACCUGCCCAGAAGCGGGGGAUAACACCUGGAAACAGAUGCUAAUACCGCAUAACAACUUGGACCGCAUGGUCCGAGCUUGAAAGAUGGCUUCGGCUAUCACUUUUGGAUGGUCCCGCGGCGUAUUAGCUAGAUGGUGGGGUAACGGCUCACCAUGGCAAUGAUACGUAGCCGACCUGAGAGGGUAAUCGGCCACAUUGGGACUGAGACACGGCCCAAACUCCUACGGGAGGCAGCAGUAGGGAAUCUUCCACAAUGGACGAAAGUCUGAUGGAGCAACGCCGCGUGAGUGAAGAAGGGUUUCGGCUCGUAAAACUCUGUUGUUAAAGAAGAACAUAUCUGAGAGUAACUGUUCAGGUAUUGACGGUAUUUAACCAGAAAGCCACGGCUAACUACGUGCCAGCAGCCGCGGUAAUACGUAGGUGGCAAGCGUUGUCCGGAUUUAUUGGGCGUAAAGCGAGCGCAGGCGGUUUUUUAAGUCUGAUGUGAAAGCCUUCGGCUCAACCGAAGAAGUGCAUCGGAAACUGGGAAACUUGAGUGCAGAAGAGGACAGUGGAACUCCAUGUGUAGCGGUGAAAUGCGUAGAUAUAUGGAAGAACACCAGUGGCGAAGGCGGCUGUCUGGUCUGUAACUGACGCUGAGGCUCGAAAGUAUGGGUAGCAAACAGGAUUAGAUACCCUGGUAGUCCAUACCGUAAACGAUGAAUGCUAAGUGUUGGAGGGUUUCCGCCCUUCAGUGCUGCAGCUAACGCAUUAAGCAUUCCGCCUGGGGAGUACGGCCGCAAGGCUGAAACUCAAAGGAAUUGACGGGGGCCCGCACAAGCGGUGGAGCAUGUGGUUUAAUUCGAAGCUACGCGAAGAACCUUACCAGGUCUUGACAUACUAUGCAAAUCUAAGAGAUUAGACGUUCCCUUCGGGGACAUGGAUACAGGUGGUGCAUGGUUGUCGUCAGCUCGUGUCGUGAGAUGUUGGGUUAAGUCCCGCAACGAGCGCAACCCUUAUUAUCAGUUGCCAGCAUUAAGUUGGGCACUCUGGUGAGACUGCCGGUGACAAACCGGAGGAAGGUGGGGAUGACGUCAAAUCAUCAUGCCCCUUAUGACCUGGGCUACACACGUGCUACAAUGGAUGGUACAACGAGUUGCGAACUCGCGAGAGUAAGCUAAUCUCUUAAAGCCAUUCUCAGUUCGGAUUGUAGGCUGCAACUCGCCUACAUGAAGUCGGAAUCGCUAGUAAUCGCGGAUCAGCAUGCCGCGGUGAAUACGUUCCCGGGCCUUGUACACACCGCCCGUCACACCAUGAGAGUUUGUAACACCCAAAG
rnacentral:rRNA from 1 species